rnacentral:rRNA from 1 species
UACAGAGGUCUCAAGCGUUGUUCGGAUUCAUUGGGCGUAAAGGGUGCGUAGGCGGCGCGGUAAGUCGGGUGUGAAAUCUCGGGGCUUAACUCCGAAACUGCAUUCGAUACUGCCGUGCUUGAGGACUGGAGAGGAGACUGGAAUUUACGGUGUAGCGGUGAAAUGCGUAGAUAUCGAGAGGAACACCUGCGGCGAAGGCGGGUUGCUGGGCUGAUACUGACGCUGGGAC